rnacentral:ncRNA from 2 species
ACUAUAUCUAGUGUUCGAGGUUCUCCCGAUUCGCAAGAUCGGGAGCUAAGACGGGAAUACGGUGCGUGACGUCCAUGAUGGGCCGAGCAAUGCCGGAGCUGCCCCCGCAACUGUAAGCGGCGAGCGUUCGUUCAGAAAAGCCACUGGGGUCGUGAGGUCCUGGGAAGGUGAAAACGGAUGCCGCGACCCGCAAGCCAGGAGACCUGCCUCGAACUUGAACGUCCA